UGUGGGAUGCCUCAGCUGCUCCCAGGAGGGCCCCGUGCAGAAUGUUUGCUAUGGUCAAACAAAGGAGUCCAAUUGUGAACACUGCCACAGUAAACUCAGUAUUCUGACAGAGAGCACAAGAUUCCAGUAUAUCCAGCCACGCGUCAACAAAACAGGUUCAAGUUCUGG